rnacentral:rRNA from 1 species
AUACGUAGGGGGCAAGCGUUGUCCGGAAUUAUUGGGCGUAAAGGGCGCGCAGGCGGCCGAUUAAGUCGGGUGUGUAAGGCCACGGCUCAACCGUGGAGUUGCAUCCGAAACUGGUCGGCUUGAGUUCAGGAGAGGAGAGUGGAAUUCCCGGUGUAGCGGUGGAAUGCGUAGAGAUCGGGAGGAACACCAGUGGCGAAGGCGGCUCUCUGGCCUGACACUGACGCUGAGGCGCGAAAGCGUGGGUAGCGAACAGGAUUAGAUACCCUGGUAGUCCACGCCGUAAACGAUGAGUGCUAGGUGUUGGGGGCUUCCACGCCCUCUGUGCCGAAGGAAACCCAAUAAGCACUCCGCCUGGGGAGUACGGCCGCAAGGCUGAA